rnacentral:rRNA from 1 species
GACGUAGGGCGCGAGCGUUGUCCGGAUUUAUUGGGCGUAAAGAGCUCGUAGGCGGCUUGUCGCGUCGUCCGUGAAAACCCACAGCUCAACUGUGGGCUUGCGGUCGAUACGGGCAGGCUAGAGUUCGGUAGGGGAGACUGGAAUUCCUGGUGUAGCGGUGAAAUGCGCAGAUAUCAGGAGGAACACCGGUGGCGAAGGCGGCAUCCUGGACCGACAUUGACGCUGAACGGCGAAAGCUAGGGGAGCAAACAGG